AGUUGGUUCUUGUAAGGAUCCCUGGCACUUCGUCCCCCUAUUGAACGCCGAUCUAGCUUGUGAAUCG
rnacentral:sRNA from 1 species